rnacentral:pre_miRNA from 1 species
AUACUACUCCCUCCGUCCGGAAAUACUUGUCCUAAAGAUGAAUGUAUCUAGACUUAUUUUAGUUAUAGAUACAUCCAUUAUAUCCAUUUUUAGGACAAGUAUUUCCGGACGGAGGGAGUACUUA